UGAAUGAUGAAACGAACAGAGCCU
rnacentral:snRNA from 1 species